rnacentral:rRNA from 1 species
ACUCCUACGGGAGGCAGCAGUGGGGAAUAUUGCACAAUGGGCGCAAGCCUGAUGCAGCAACGCCGCGUGAGGGACGACGGCCUUCGGGUUGUAAACCUCUUUUAGUAGGGAAGAAGCGAUGUGCUUGUCACAUCAUGACGGUACCUGCAGAAAAAGCACCGGCUAACUACGUGCCAGCAGCCGCGGUAAUACGUAGGGUGCAAGCGUUAUCCGGAAUUAUUGGGCGUAAAGAGCUCGUAGGCGGUUUGUCGCGUCUGCUGUGAAAACUGGAGGCUCAACCUCCAGCCUGCAGUGGGUACGGGCAGACUAGAGUGCGGUAGGGGAGAUUGGAAUUCCUGGUGUAGCGGUGGAAUGCGCAGAUAUCAGGAGGAACACCAAUGGCGAAGGCAGAUCUCUGGGCCGUAACUGACGCUGAGGAGCGAAAGCAUGGGGAGCGAACAGGAUUAGAUACCCUGGUAGUCCAUGCCGUAAACGUUGGGAACUAGAUGUAGGGACCAUUCCACGGUUUCUGUGUCGCAGCUAACGCAUUAAGUUCCCCGCCUGGGGAGUACGGCCGCAAGGCUAAAACUCAAAGGAAUUGACGGGGGCCCGCACAAGCGGCGGAGCAUGCGGAUUAAUUCGAUGCAACGCGAAGAACCUUACCAAGACUUGACAUAUACGAGAACGGGCUAGAAAUAGUUCACUCUUUGGACACUCGUAAACAGGUGGUGCAUGGUUGUCGUCAGCUCGUGUCGUGAGAUGUUGGGUUAAGUCCCGCAACGAGCGCAACCCUCGUUCUUUGUUGCCAGCACGUAAUGGUGGGAACUCAAAGGAGACUGCCGGGGUCAACUCGGAGGAAGGUGGGGAUGACGUCAAAUCAUCAUGCCCCUUAUGUCUUGGGCUUCACGCAUGCUACAAUGGCCGAUACAAAGGGCUGCAAUACCGCAAGGUGGAGCGAAUCCCAAAAAGUCGGUCUCAGUUCGGAUUGAGGUCUGCAACUCGACCUCAUGAAGUCGGAGUCGCUAGUAAUCGCAGAUCAGCAACGCUGCGGUGAAUACGUUCCCGGGCCUUGUACACACCGCCCGU